UACGAAGGGGGCUAGCGUUGUUCGGAUUUACUGGGCGUAAAGCGCACGUAGGCGGGUUGUUAAGUCAGGGGUGAAAUCCUGGAGCUCAACUCCAGAACUGCCUUUGAUACUGGCAACCUAGAGGCUGGAAGAGGUUAGUGGAAUUCCCAGUGUAGAGGUGAAAUUCGUAGAUAUUGGGAAGAACACCAGUGGCGAAGGCGGCUAUCUGGACGGUUUCUGACACUAAGACUCGAAAGCGUGGGGAGCAAACAGG
rnacentral:rRNA from 1 species